CGGGUGAGUAACACGUAUGCAACCUGCCGUCUACUCUUGGACAGCCUACUGAAAGGAAGAUUAAUACAAGAUGGCAUCAUGAGUCCGCAUGUUCACAUGAUUAAAGGUAUUCCGGUAGACGAUGGGGAUGCGUUCCAUUAGAUAGUAGGCGGGGUAACGGCCCACCUAGUCUUCGAUGGAUAGGGGUUCUGAGAGGAAGGUCCCCCACAUUGGAACUGAGACACGGUCCAA
rnacentral:rRNA from 1 species